rnacentral:rRNA from 1 species
GUCAAAAAAAAGAAGGCCGACGGCGGAUACCUAGGCACCCAGAGACGAAGAAGGGCGCAGAUACCGGCGAAACACUUUGGGGAGUCGGUAGCAGGCUUUGAUCCAAAGGUCCCCGAAUAGGGCAACCUCUCGAACUCCUUGACGAAUUCAUAGUCUAGGCAGGGGCAACCCGGUGAACUGAAACAUCUUAGUAGCCGGAGGAAAAGAAAGCAAACGCGAUUCCCGGAGUAGCGGCGAGCGGAACGGGAACAGCCUAAACUUGUGGCAACAGCCAUAGGGGUCGUGGGAAGACAGUAAAAAGAAAUAUUUAAGUAACUUUAGCUACUAUUUGUCACCACUUUCUUUUGAUUUUGCCUUUUGCUCUUGCGCAAAAGCAAGAGGUAGCAAAAUUGCUACUAUUGCUCUUGCCUGUCGCUUUUGCCUGUCGCUUUUGCGACAGCAAAAGGACAGCAAAAGGCAAUAGCAAGAGUCGCAAAAGCGAUAGAAGGUGAGCAAGAGAAGCUAAAGCAAAAGAAAGAGAUAGCAAUUGCUGUCUUUAGCUGUCGCUUUUGCCUGUUGCUUUUGCCUGUCGCUUUUGCCUGUCGCUUUUGCGACAGCAAAAGGACAGCAAAAGGCAACAGGCAAAAGGCAACAGGCAAAAGAAACCAGACGAAGCAGCUGAAUCCUGCACCAUAGACGGUGAAAGUCCGGUAGUCGAAAGUUUCGUCAAAAUAUUUUUAGUCAAAUCCCGAGUAGCAUGGGGCACGUGGAAUCCCGUGUGAAUCAGCGAGGACCACCUCGUAAGGCUAAACACUCCUGGGUGACCGAUAGCGAAAGAGUACUGCGAAGGAACGGUGAAAAGAACCCCAUUCGGGUGAGUGAAAUAGAACAUGAAACCGUCGGCUGACGAGCAGCGGGAGGGUUUAGAGCCUGACCGCGUGCCUGUUGAAGAAUGAGCUGGCGACUCAGAGGGAGUGGCUGGGUUAAGGAUUUUUCCGGAGCCCGAGCGAAAGCAAGUAAGAAAUUUGCGAAAUUGUCACUUUUUCUGGACCCGAACCCGGUUGAUCUAAUCUUGGCCAGGAUGAAGCUUGGGUAACACUAAGUGGAAGGCCGAACCGACCGAUGUUGAAAAAUCGGCGGAUGAGCUGAGAUUAGCGGUGAAAUACCAAUCGAAAUCGGAGCUAGCUGGAUCUCCCCGAAAUGUGUUGAGGCGCAGCGGCGAUGAUGGGCCAUCUGAAGGUAAAGCACUGUUUCGACGCGGGCUGCGAAAGCGGUACCAAGUCGUGGCAAACUCAGAAUUGAAGGUGUAGCCUUCCAUCAGCCAGUGAGACUGCGGGGGAUAAGCUCCGUUGUCAAAAGGGAAACAGCCCAGAUCACCAGCUAAGGCCCCUAAAUGAACGCUAAGUGGAAAAGGAUGUGAGGUAUGCUCAAACAACCAGGAGGUUUGCUUAGAAGCAGCAACUACCUUGAAAGAGUGCGUAAUAGCUCACUGGUUUAGCGUCCUUGCGCCGACAAUGCCCGGGACUAAGCGGUCUGCCGAAGCUGUGGGAUAGAAUAUAUAAAUUCGAUCGGUAGGGGAGCGUUCCGCCUGGGGUGAAGCUUUCGCGUAAGCGGUGGUGGACAGGGCGGAAGUGAGAAUGUCAGCUUGAGUAACGAAAACAUUGGUGAGAAUCCAAUGCCCCGAAAACCUAAGAUUUUCUCCACAAGGUUCGUCCGUGGGGAGUGAGUCAGAACCUAAGACCAGGUCGAAAGGCGUCGUCGAUGGAAAGCAGGCGAACAUUCCUGCACUAACUUUCAUGGGUACCGAGGGACGAAGCAGGCUAAGCUGAGACCGUUUAUGGAUUGCGGUGGAAGCAUUCGAGGCUAUGUCAGGUCGAAUAAAAACGACGCUGCCCAGAGAUUAAAUUCUUCUGUAGUUUAGAUGUUAUCCCGUUCAAAGUUUCGGCUUUGGACGUCAGUUAUGUCAUACUUCCAAGAAAAGCUUGAACACUAUUAAACAUGAAAGUUAUCUGUAUUACAAACCGACACAGGUGGGUGGGUAGAGAAUACCUAGGGGCGCGAGAGAACUCUCUCUAAGGAACUCGGCAAAUUGGCCCCGUAACUUCGGGAGAAGGGGUGCAUAAAUUAACAUUUAUGUCGCAGUGACCAGGCCCAAGCGACUGUUUACCAAAAACACAGGUCUCCGCAAAGUCGUAAGACGAUAUAUGGGGGCUGACGCCUGCCCAGUGCCGGAAGGUGAAGGAAGUUGGUUAUUGUAAUCUUGAUUAUGAGAAGCUGACGACCGAAGCCCCGGUGAACGGCGGCCGUAACUAUAACGGUCCUAAGGUAGCGAAGUUCUUUGUCGGGUAAGUUCCGACCCGCACGAAAGGCGUAACGAUUUGGGCACUGUCUCGGAGAGAGACUCGGUGAAAUAGACUUGUCCGUGAAGAUGCGGACUACUUGCACCUGGACAGAAAGACCCUAUGAAGCUUGACUGUAAUCUGGGACUGGUUUCGGGCCUUUCUUGCGCAGCCUAGGUGGGAGGCAUUGAUAGUCCCCUUCCGGGGGGAUUGGAGCCGUCAUUGAGAGACCACUCUGGGAGGGCUAGAAUCCUAAUGGUGAUCCUUGAAUCAGGACGCUUGACAGUUCCAGACGGGCAGUUUUUCUGGGGCGGAAGCCUCCUAAAUGGUAACGGAGGCGCGCAAAGGUUCUCUCAGUCUGGACGGAAAUCAGACGUGGAGUGUAAAGGCAUAAGAGAGCUUGACUGCAAGACCGACAAGUCGAGCAGGGGCGAAAGCCGGCCUUAGUGAUCCGACGGUUCCAUGUGGAAGGGCCGUCGCUCAACGGAUAAAAGUUACUCUAGGGAUAACAGGCUAAUCUUGUCAGAGAGUCCAUAUCGACGACACGGUUUGGCACCUCGAUGUCGGCUCUUCACGGCUCAGGGCUGUAGUAGGUCCUAAGAGUCGGGCUGUUCGCCCGUUAAAGUGGAACGUGAGCUGGGUUCAGAACGUCGCAAGACAGUUCGGUCCAUAUCCGGUGUAAGCGCAAGAGCGUUGAGAGGAUUCUUUUCUAGUACGAGAGGACCGAAAAGAACAUGCCUAUGGUGUACCGGUUCUCACUCCAGUGGGAAACGCCGGGUAGCUAUGCAUGGAGAGGAUAACCGCUGAAAGCAUCUAAGUGGGAGGCCCACCUCAAGAUGAGCGCUCUCCAUUAGGCCGCGGCUAGACCAGCCGUUCGAUAGGCAUCAGGUAUAAGCGCUGUGAGGCGUUCAGCUGAGAUGUACUAAAGGCCGAGCGACUUUGAC